rnacentral:rRNA from 1 species
UGGGGAAUAUUGCACAAUGGGCGCAAGCCUGAUGCAGCCAUGCCGCGUGUAUGAAGAAGGCCUUCGGGUUGUAAAGUACUUUCAGCGGGGAGGAAGGGAGUAAAGUUAAUACCUUUGCUCAUUGACGUUACCCGCAGAAGAAGCACCGGCUAACUCCGUGCCAGCAGCCGCGGUAAUACGGAGGGUGCAAGCGUUAAUCGGAAUUACUGGGCGUAAAGCGCACGCAGGCGGUUUGUUAAGUCAGAUGUGAAAUCCCCGGGCUCAACCUGGGAACUGCAUCUGAUACUGGCAAGCUUGAGUCUCGUAGAGGGGGGUAGAAUUCCAGGUGUAGCGGUGAAAUGCGUAGAGAUCUGGAGGAACACCAGUGGCGAAGGCGGCUCUCUGGUCUGUAACUGACGCUGAGGCUCGAAAGCGUGGGGAGCAAACAGG